rnacentral:rRNA from 1 species
CCUACGGGAGGCAGCAGUGGGGAAUAUUGCACAAUGGGCGCAAGCCUGAUGCAGCCAUGCCGCGUGUAUGAAGAAGGCUUUCGGGUUGUAAAGUACUUUCAGCGGGGAGGUAGGGAGUUAAGUUAAUACCUUUGCUCAUUGACGUUACCCGUAGAAGAAGCACCGGCUAACUCCGUGCCAGCAGCCGCGGCAAUACGGAGGGUGCAAGCGUUAAUCGGAAUUACUGGGCGUAAAGCGCACGCAGGCGGUUUGUUAAGUCAGAUGUGAAAUCCCCGGGCGCAACCUGGGAACUGCAGUUGAUACGGGCAGGCUUGAGUGUCGUAGAGGGAGGCAGAAUGCCAGGUGUAGCGGUGAAAUGCGUAGAGAUCAGGAGGAAUACCGGUGGCGAAGGCGGCCCCCUGGACGAAGACUGACGCUGAGGUGCGAAAGCGUGGGGAGCAAACAGGAUUAGAUACCCUUGUAGUC